AGAGUUUGAUCCUGGCUCAGGAUGAACGCUGGCGGCGUGCUUAACACAUGCAAGUCGAACGAACCUUCGGGUUAGUGGCGGACGGGUGAGUAACGCGUGAGAAUCUGCCCUCAGGAGGGGGAUAACGGCUGGAAACGGCCGCUAAUACCCCAUAUGCCGAGAGGUGAAAUGAAUUUCGCCUGAGGAUGAGCUCGCGUCUGAUUAGCUAGUUGGUGUGGUAAAGGCUCACCAAGGCAUCGAUCAGUAGCUGGUCUGAGAGGAUGAUCAGCCACACUGGGACUGAGACACGGCCCAGACUCCUACGGGAGGCAGCAGUGGGGAAUUUUCCGCAAUGGGCGCAAGCCUGACGGAGCAACGCCGCGUGAGGGAUGAAGGCCUCUGGGCUGUAAACCUCUUUUAUCAAGGAAGAAGAUCUGACGGUACUUGAUGAAUAAGCCACGGCUAAUUCCGUGCCAGCAGCCGCGGUAAUACGGGAGUGGCAAGCGUUAUCCGGAAUUAUUGGGCGUAAAGCGUCCGCAGGCGGUCUUGAAAGUCUGUUGUUAAAGCGUGGAGCUCAACUCCAUUUCAGCAAUGGAAACUAGAAGACUAGAGUGUGGUAGGGGCAGAGGGAAUUCCCGGUGUAGCGGUGAAAUGCGUAGAUAUCGGGAAGAACACCAGUGGCGAAGGCGCUCUGCUGGGCCAUAACUGACGCUCAUGGACGAAAGCCAGGGGAGCGAAAGGGAUUAGAUACCCCUGUAGUCCUGGCCGUAAACGAUGAACACUAGGUGUCGGGGGAAUCGACCCCCUCGGUGUCGUAGCCAACGCGUUAAGUGUUCCGCCUGGGGAGUACGCACGCAAGUGUGAAACUCAAAGGGAUUGACGGGGGCCCGCACAAGCGGUGGAGUAUUUGGUUUAAUUCGAUGCAACGCGAAGAACCUUACCAGGGUUUGGCAUCCUGCGAAUCCCUUGGAAACUUGGGAGUGCCUUCGGGAGCGCAGUGACAGGUGGUGCAUGGCUGUCGUCAGCUCGUGUCGUGAGAUGUUGGGUUAAGUCCCGCAACGAGCGCAACCCACGUCUUUAGUUGCCAGCAUUAAGUUGGGCACUCUAGAGAGACUGCCGGUGAUAAACCGGAGGAAGGUGUGGAUGACGUCAAGUCAUCAUGCCCCUUACAUCCUGGGCUACACACGUACUACAAUGCUACGGACAAAGGGCAGCAAACUCGCGAGAGCUAGCAAAUCCCAUAAACCGUGGCUCAGUUCAGAUCGUAGGCUGCAACUCGCCUACGUGAAGGAGGAAUCGCUAGUAAUCGCAGGUCAGCAUACUGCGGUGAAUACGUUCCCGGGCCUUGUACACACCGCCCGUCACACCAUGGAAGUUGGCCACGCCCGAAGUCGUUACUCCAACCCGCAAGGGAGGAGGAUGCCGAAGGUGGGGCUGAUGACUGGGGUGAAGUCGUAACAAGGUA
rnacentral:rRNA from 1 species